CUUCAGUCAGUUGCUAGUCGUUGGUGAAGUGAAUACGUACUAACCGCAUGUCUUCGUACUAAAUCGUUAAAAAAACAACGAAAAUUUACUUAUCACAUUCCAAGAGGCAAAAAAUUUAUAAACAAAUGGAAAAAAGUGAACAAAAAGAACGUUAAUACUGUUUGUUGUUUUUGUAAAAUGUUUAAAAUAUUAUAUAAGUCUGUGCUAUUUAAUUGUGUUGACAACUAACUCCGCCAGUUCGGCGCGCAACCUGCAAAGGCAUACAAAAAAUACAAAUACAAAAACUUAAAUAAUAAAAAAAAAUUGAGCUCAAGGGCUAACCAGUUUCAAUGUGCUAAGAAAUUCAUUUACAAAAUUUUAAAUGUGAUAGUAAAACAAAAAAUAAACGAAAUUGUCACAAUAUGUCAGAUGCUCUAAACAAUAACGUCCUGUCCCAUGUUGGUGAUGAUGAUUGUAUGAGCACAGAUUCCACAGAUACAUCUAAUAAGGAAAAACAUCAAACAAACAACGAUUGUGGUUUAAAUAAAAAGUACACAACAAGCAUUAGUACGAAUAGUAAUGAUGAAAUCAUCGAGGAGGGAUUCGACUAUAGCGAAGCUGACCUGUUAGACGAGUUAAAUGCUAGCGACGACGACGAAGUCGUCGACGUAAACAGCGGCGUUAACGACAAUGUCGAAAGAAAUGCGAACAUUCAAAAAUAUAACACUCAUGAUCUUCCCAUCACACAAGAUGCGGACAAGAAGGGUGAAGCAUGUGCAAAUAUUACCGGUACAUUUUCUCUUAGUACCCAUGUAACCGACACGAAUUCUCAUGACAAUAAAACAAGAUCAACGAACGUUGUUGCGAACGUCGUCGACAGUGAUUAUGUGCCAAUUGUGAGCACUGAUAAUGCGCCAAACAGUGCAAGUGAUAAGCAAAAAGUUACACCGACUAACUUAACGUUGUGUAGCGACACCGACCAACCAAACGCAAGUGAAGUUGGCGUUGACUCAUAUUGUCCCAUAACACCGCGAUGUAUAGUUGAUGUUGAAGCUGAGCCUAAUCCAUUGUUAAAAAGUAGUUCCACAACACGUAUAGAAAGCAACAAUAAAAAUGUUGUUGAUGAUGCCGGAGUUGCUAGCAACAAUGAUCAUGGUGAUGAAGGUUAUUAUUAUUCCGAUGAGCCCGAAGAUGAAUUAAUUGUACAGUUCCUGGGAGAAGCCAAUCGUAUUGCCGAGGCCCGUUUGGCUGCUCGACGACAAGCGCGCGCUGAGGCACGCGAAAUACGGAUGCGCGAGUUGGAACGCCAACAGAAGGAGCAAGAGCAAAAUGCAGACCGUGUUUUUGACAUGCAUACCUCGAGCGGCAUCGACCCAUUAUCGCGGUCACGGCUCGCCACCGGCGUCGGCAGUUCACCGCUCGGUGCAGUGCUUAACAGCACACGAGCCAACUCGAUGUCAUCACGACGCAGCAGUGAAGACUCACUAGAGGAAGAAGGCCGCAGUCUGCGUGAUAUACGACAUGAACUCAAGGAUGUUGAGGAAAGGUUUCGAAAGGCCAUGAUAGCCAAUGCCCAGUUGGAUAAUGAACGCGCUUCGCAAACGUAUCAAAUACAACUGUUGAAGGAUAAACUAGAGGAAGUGGAAGAAUCUUAUGCGCAGCUUCAGCGUGAAUUUAAGGAUAAGUCACGUGAUUGCAAUGCGCUGAAAAGAAAUCUGGAUAAAUUAAGUGAAGAGCUUAAAUUGGUGCAAGGUCAACUAACUGAACGCGACAAACUAAUCGCGGAUCAGGGGUUAGUUAUUGUAGCCGUAGAGAAUGAAGACGGUACCGACGCAAAACGUGCUCUAGUCAGUGUUGAAAAUGCUCAGCUGUUAGGUUCAGUGCAAGGCUCAUUAGAUGUGCGACUGAAAAAGUUCAGCGAGGAGAAACAACAACUUUUAGCAGAAGUGCAAAAACUGCAGGAAACAUUAGAAAAUUACAAGAGCCAAGGCAAGGGCCGGUCCAAUUCACUUAACGGACCAACAGGUUCUGACGAAGAUUAUGAAGCUCAGAGGGAGGCGAAUAAAAUAAUAUCAGACUACAAGUAUAAACUGCAAAAGGCUGAACAAGAAAUCGCCAGCUUACAAGCGAGCUUGGCACGUUCAGAAACGCAAGUUAUACGUUAUAAAAGUACAGCGGAAGCGGCUGAAAAAGCUGAAGCUGAACUUAAAAUAGAACGGAGAAAACUGCAAAGAGAAGAAUUAUUAGUUAUACAUUUUUGGGAUGAAUGUCAUUGCCAAUAGAUAAGAGUAAAUCGUUUUUAUAGUUAUCUAAAGCAAAAACCUAAACGCUUCAAUCCAAACAUACAUACAUAAAUAAUUCAUUAAGAACCAUGUUACUUACGAAUCGUGAAGCCAUGGAACGUAUGGAGGAAUUGGAAACUUCAAAUAAUCACCUGCUGAAGCGACUAGACAAACUAAAGAAUGCUAAAAGCGCUUUGCUUAAAGAUCUCUGACCGAAAUCCAUACAUGCAACAACUAC
rnacentral:misc_RNA from 1 species